UAGGAGUUUAGGUUAUUUAGACCAGAGGCCUUCAAAGCCUCAAGAAAAUAUGCACUGUUUAACUCCUG
rnacentral:tRNA from 1 species